GACGAACGCUGGCGGCGUGCUUAACACAUGCAAGUCGAGCGGAAAGGCCCUUUCGGGGGUACUCGAGCGGCGAACGGGUGAGUAACACGUGAGUAACCUGCCCUGGACUUUGGGAUAACCCUCGGAAACGGGGGCUAAUACCGGAUAUGACGACUCACCGCAUGGUGUGGUUGUGGAAAGUUUUUCGGUCUGGGAUGGGCUCGCGGCCUAUCAGCUUGUUGGUGGGGUGAUGGCCUACCAAGGCGACGACGGGUAGCCGGCCUGAGAGGGCGACCGGCCACACUGGGACUGAGACACGGCCCAGACUCCUACGGGGGGCAGCAGUGGGGAAUAUUGCACAAUGGGCGGAAGCCUGAUGCAGCGACGCCGCGUGAGGGAUGACGGCCUUCGGGUUGUAAACCUCUUUCAGCAGGGACGAAGCGUGAGUGACGGU
rnacentral:rRNA from 1 species